rnacentral:rRNA from 1 species
GAUGAACGCUGGCGGUGUGCCUAGUACAUGCAAGUCGAGCGAACAGACGAGGAGCUUACUCCUCUGACGUUAGCGGCGGACGGGUGAGUAACACGUGGAUAACCUACCUAUAAGACUGGGAUAACUUCGGGAAACCGGAGCUAAUACCGGAUAACAUGUUGAACCGCAUGGUUCAACAGUGAAAGACGGUCUUGCUGUCACUUAUAGAUGGAUCCGCGUCGCAUUAGCUAGUUGGUAAGGUAACGGCUUACCAAGGCAACGAUGCGUAGCCGACCUGAGAGGGUGAUCGGCCACACUGGAACUGAGACACGGUCCAGACUCCUACGGGAGGCAGCAGUAGGGAAUCUUCCGCAAUGGGCGAAAGCCUGACGGAGCAACGCCGCGUGAGUGAAGAAGGUCUUCGGAUCGUAAAACUCUGUUAUUAGGGAAGAACAAAUGUGUAAGUAACUAUGCACGUCUUGACGGUACCUAAUCAGAAAGCCACGGCUAACUACGUG